UCUAAAAUGUUGAACGCCCACUAUGGACUGGAAUCGCCAAUCCUACGGAGGCAGCAGUUAAGGAUCUUCCCGCCAUGGGCGAAGCCUGACGGAGGGACGCGCGUGGAACGAUGAAGCAGAAGUUGUGAAGUCCUUUUCUCGGGGGGGAACAACCGUGCCAGGAUGGGCGCGGGGUGACGCGGACCGAGAAUAAGCCCUGGCAAACUACGUGCCAGCAGCCGCGGUAACACGUAGGGGGCGAGCGUUGUUCGGAUUCAUUGGGCGUAAAGGGCGCGCGGGCGGCCGGGCGAGCUGCCGUGAAAUCCCCGUGCUCAACACGGGGGGGUCGGCGGGGACUGUCCGGGCUGGAGUACCGGGAAGCGGCGGCGGAAUUCCUGGUGUAGGGGUGAAAUCUGUAGAUAUCAGGAAGAACACCGAUGGCGAAGGCGGCCGCCGGGCCGGAUACUGACGCUGAGGCGCGAAGGUGCGGGGAGCGAACAGGUUUAGAUACCCUGGUAGUCCGCACAGUAAACGAUGUGCACCGGGUGGCGGGCGGGAACGCUCGGCACCGAAGCGAACGCAGCAAGUGCACCGCCUGGGGAGUAUGCCCGCAAGGGUGAAACUCAAAGGAAUUGACGGGGGCCCGCACAAGCGGUGGAGCAUGUGGUUUAAUUCGAUGAUACGCGAGGAACCUUACCAGGGCUUGACAUGCGCGGGAGGCGCUCCGAGAGGGGCGCGCCCUUCGGGGCCCGCGCACAGGUGCUGCAUGGCUGUCGUCAGCUCGUGCUGUGAAGUGUUGGGUUAAGUCCCGCAACGAGCGCAACCCCUUCUGCCAGUUGCCAGCAUUCGGUUGGGCACUCUGGCGGGACCGCCGGCGACAAGCCGGAGGAAGGCGGGGACGACGUCAAGUCAUCACGGCCCUUAUGUCCUGGGCGACACACGUGCUACAAUGGCAGGUACAGAGCGAGGCGAGCCUGGAAGGGUGAGCGGACCGCAGAAAGCCUGUCCCAGUACGGACUGGGGCCUGCAACCCGGCCCCACGAAGUUGGAAUCGCUAGUAAUCGCGCAUCAGCAUGGCGCGGUGAAUACGUUCCCGGGCCUUGUACACACCGCCCGUCACACCAUCCGAGUCGGGGGCGCCCGAAGCCGCCAGGCCAACCGCGAGGGGGCCGGUGUCGAAGGUGCGUCCGGCGAGGGGGGUGAAGUCGUAACAAGGUAAAUCACUGCCGUCCUAACCCAU
rnacentral:rRNA from 1 species